UACGGGGGGAACGGGAAGAACCUUACCAAAUCUUGACAUCCUCUGACCCCUCUAGAGAUAGAGUUUUCCCCUUCGGGGGACAGAGUGACAGGUGGUGCAUGGUUGUCGUCAGCUCGUGUCGUGAGAUGUUGGGUUAAGUCCCGCAACGAGCGCAACCCUUAAGCUUAGUUGCCAUCAUUAAGUUGGGCACUCUAAGUUGACUGCCGGUGACAAACCGGAGGAAGGUGGGGAUGACGUCAAAUCAUCAUGCCCCUUAUGAUUUGGGCUACACACGUGCUACAAUGGACAAUACAAAGGGUAGCGAAACCGCGAGGUCAAGCAAAUCCCAUAAAGUUGUUCUCAGUUCGGAUUGUAGUCUGCAACUCGACUAUAUGAAGCUGGAAUCGCUAGUAAUCGUAGAUCAGCAUGCUAUAUCC
rnacentral:rRNA from 1 species